UACGUAGGGUGCGAGCGUUGUUCGGAAUUACUGGGCGUAAAGCGCACGUAGGCGGCUUUGCAAGUUAGAGGUGAAAGCCCGGGGCUCAACUCCGGAAUUGCCUUUAAAACUGCAUCGCUAGAAUUGUGGAGAGGUAAGUGGAAUUCCGAGUGUAGAGGUGAAAUUCGUAGAUAUUCGGAAGAACACCAGUGGCGAAGGCGACUUACUGGACACAUAUUGACGCUGAGGUGCGAAAGCGUGGGGAGCAAACAGG
rnacentral:rRNA from 1 species